CAAUUCUUUCAUUCUCAUUCGACCUUUACUUCACAAAAACCUUAGCAAAGCAACUUGGCAGCAAUCUCUUGCAAGUUGCGAUUUCACUCCCAAGAAUCCAAAGCUUCAAAUUUCAAGUUGUAUUAGAUGAAAGAAGAAGAUGAAUUGACCCGCCGGUUGAACUACAGACUCGUUGACUGACCGCAUUGUCCGGGUCGACAUCCGGGUUGAGUCCGAUAACUAUGUCUCCAGGUGCAUCUAAGGUGUCAAAUAUUAACAAUAAUAUUUGAGCAUCUUCCAAAGUAUUUAUCACUAAAUUUAAAAAGAAAUCUCCCAAAAGCUUACUAUAAUUUAAAAGAGCAAUACAAUAUCUUCAAUAAAACUUCUCUUUUGUUUGUAGCUACAAAAUGAUUGUUAUGUAGCUCAAAUCAGCGACGACUUUUUUGUCAACAUAUUUGAUUGUUCUUUUAUAUUAUUUAUACUUUUGGGUGACUUCUUCCUAAACUUAGUAAUGAUUACAUUGGAAGAGACUCAAACUCUAUAUUUCAACGUGAUUUCACAUUGAGGUGAUUCUUUAGCUAACAUUUAUUCUAGUAAGUUGUUUUUUCUCAAUUUAUAAACUUAAAUUUCAAAUUUAUUUACAAACACUUCGCACUACUCUUUUACACAGAAAACUCAUUUUCCUUCUCUCUUCUAGGAAAAACUAAAGAUAUAAAAAUAGAAGAUGGAUCAAAGAUUUGGACAUAUGUUUAAGUGAGACCCAGUAAGAUGAUUUUCUUCAUUUUCGAUUUUUGAAAUAUUAUCAUGUUGGUCUGUUAAAUCCUAUGGACAAGAACAAUGAAAAAAUUAGGCAUGAAUGUGCUUUGCCAAUUUAUUUGAAAAUUUCAUUCCCGGUAAAUUUUAUGUCUCAGGUCUAUCGUAAGAGGCAUUCAACUUUCUGCUUGAUGUUAAAAUACGUGGACUUGAAUUAUUUGGGUACUAAUUUUCUACAAAAUAUUGAAGUCGACAAAUAGUAUGGUAUUAAUGAGGCUCAAAUUUUGCUGUUUUUGUCCAAUCCUUUUAUUAUCAUUAAUGUAAUUAUUUAUAUUGCAUUUCUUAAUGUUCUAAUCAUUUGUUAUGCUAAUAAAAGAUCUGUUGACCUUUUGAUAUCUGAAAAUAGUCAUGUAUAGUACUUGCAAUAUAUAUCCAAGCAAAGUCAUCCAAGUUCCCUCCAACGCAAUUUGUAAUUAUCUCUCAGGUAAAAGCAAGUUUAAUGCACACUCUAAGAGCAUGUGGGUCCUUGAAUGAUGAAAAAUAUAAUUUUGAUUUUGCAAAGGUAUGAUCUUGCUUCACACUAAAAUAUUAACAAUGAUAUAUGCAGUUUUAUGUAUACUUCACUUUGAUUAUUCAAUUGCAUUCUUUUUUGUUUUUUAUCAAAAAAUUAUUAUUAUUAUUAUUAUUAUUAUUAUUAUUAUUAUUAUUAUUAUUAUUAUUAUUAUUAUUAUUUUGUUCCGACUGUACAUAUACUUCUAGAAUACAACUGUAAGUAAUACAAGAGAGAAUAUUUUUGUGAAUAUGAUUCUUUAUAUAAUCAAUUGAAAAUGUGAAUAAUUUCUUUUAUGUGGUGAGGAUGUGUUGUCAACAUGUAGACAUGUCAUUUGACUUAUAUAUUUUUCUAUUGUAAUUCAUAUUAUUUGUAUCCACAUGAACAUGCUUGUGAAAUAUCAUAAGUUUCUUAUAUUUGGAGCAAACUUAAACAUUAGUUUUAACUGCAUAUACUGUUACUUAGAUUUCACUAAAAUUAGACCUCGUGAUGCAAAAAAA